rnacentral:misc_RNA from 1 species
UCCGGCUUAUCACCGGCAGUCCCUCUAGAGUGCCCAACUGAAUGAUGGCAACUAAAGGCGAGGGUUGCGCUCGUUGCGGGACUUAACCCAACAUCUCACGACACGAGCUGACGACAGCCAUGCACCACCUGUAUAGGACCCUUACGGACCCCCCAUCUCUGGAGGAUUUCCCUAUAUGUCAAACCCAGGUAAGGUUCUUCGCGUUGCAUCGAAUUAAUCCGCAUGCUCCGCCGCUUGUGCGGGCCCCCGUCAAUUCCUUUGAGUUUCAAUCUUGCGAUCGUACUUCCCAGGUGGAUUACUUAAUGCGUUAGCUGCGGCACCCAGGGGGUCAAUACCCCGGACACCUAGUGCCCAUCGUUUACAGCGUGGACUAC